AUUGAACGCUAGCGGCAGGCCUAAUACAUGCAAGUCGGACGGGAUUGUGGAGCUUGCUUCACAUGAGAGUGGCGCACGGGUGCGUAACACGUAUGUAACCUACCCUUGUCAGGGGGAUAGCCUCUCGAAAGAGAGAUUAAGACCGCAUAACAUUGUUUUGUGGCAUCACAGAACAAUCAAAUAUUUAUAGGACAAGGAUGGGCAUGCGGAACAUUAGCUAGUUGGUAAGGUAACGGCUUACCAAGGCUACGACGUUUAGGGGAUCUGAGAGGAUGGCCCCCCACACUGGUACUGAGACACGGACCAGACUCCUACGGGAGGCAGCAGUAAGGAAUAUUGGUCAAUGGGCGGAAGCCUGAACCAGCCAUGCCGCGUGCAGGAAGACGGCCCUACGUGUUGUAAACUGCUUUUACAGGGGAAUAAACCUCGGUACGUGUACCGAGCUGAAUGUACUCUGAGAAUAAGGAUCGGCUAACUCCGUGCCAGCCGCCGCGGUAA
rnacentral:rRNA from 1 species